rnacentral:rRNA from 1 species
UGCUAUUAGAUGAGCCUAUAUUAGAUUAGCUAGUUGGUGGAGUAAUAGCCUACCAAGGCAAUGAUCUAUAGCUGAUCUGAGAGGAUGAUCAGCCACACUGGAACUGAGAUACGGUCCAGACUCCUACGGGAGGCAGCAGUGGGGAAUAUUGGACAAUGGGCGAAAGCCUGAUCCAGCCAUGCCGCAUGAGUGAAGAAGGCCUUUGGGUUGUAAAGCUCUUUUAGUGAGGAAGAUAAUGACGGUACUCACAGAAGAAGUCCUGGCUAACUCCGUGCCAGCAGCCGCGGUAAUACGGAGAGGGCUAGCGUUAUUCGGAAUUAUUGGGCGUAAAGGGCGCGUAGGCGGAUUAGUAAGUUAAAAGUGAAAUCCCAAGGCUCAACCUUGGAAUUGCUUUUAAAACUGCUAAUCUAGAGAUUGAAAGAGGAUAGAGGAAUUCCUAGUGUAGAGGUGAAAUUCGUAAAUAUUAGGAGGAACACCAGUGGCGAAGGCGUCUGUCUGGUUCAAAUCUGACGCUGAGGCGCGAAGGCGUGGGGAGCAAACAGGAUUAGAUACCCUGGUAGUCCACGCUGUAAACGAUGAAUGUUAAAUAUGGGAAGUUU